UGCAUGAAGUCGGAAUUGCUAGUAAUCGCGGAUCAGCAUGCCGCGGUGGAAUAACGUUUCCCCGGGGCCCUUGUACACACCGCCCGUCACACCAUGGGAGCCGGUAAUACCCGAAGUCAGUAGUCCAACCUCGUGAGGACGCUGCCGAAGGUAGGAUUGGCGACUGGGGUGAAGUCGUAACAAGGUAAC
rnacentral:rRNA from 1 species